ensembl:lncRNA
GGAAAUACAAGCAAAGUGAUAUAUCAAGUGAAGAACAAUACAAGUAGUGCUACCAUGAAAGAUUUAUAAUUGAGUUCUAGAGAAGCAAAGUGCGCAGAGUAGAGGUGUAAGAGCCAGGGAAACUUUUUAUUAUUUUUUAUUUUUAAAUAAUGUGGGGUUGGCAUUUUAGCAGUUAGUUAAAUGCUCACGGAAGAGGUGGGUCUUUAGCUGUUUUUUGAAAAUAGUGACAGAUUCUGUGGUCUGGAUUGAGGUUGGAAGUUCAUUCCACCACUGAGGAACAGUUAGUUUGAAGGCUCUGGAAAGGGACCUUGAGCCACGCUGAGUAGGUACUACUAAGCGUUGGUCAUUAACCGAUCGCAGAUUGCGUGAGGGAAUGUAAGCCUCAAGGAGAAUGUUGAGGUACGGGGUACUGUAAAGACAUGGUCUUGUACGUGAGCAUGAAGGCCUUGAAUUUGAUACGGCCAGCUACAGGAAGCCAGUGGACGGAGAUGUUCCAACACCUGUCAGUCAUGUCAGUCAGUCAUGUUCCAAUAUUUUUUAUCACUUGAAAAAUAGGGUGGUUUCAAACAAAAGGUGCCAUGUUUAACACAACUAGAUAAAUAUGAGGUAAAUAUGAGGAAAUGAAAGCUGAAAAUCUGAUCUGUCAUCUCAUCUCAGCUAAACAAACAUCAUCAUGAAGAAUAAAAUAAGUUAUGUUAUGUUAAUAUCUGCAGUAGCAAUCUACCUAGCUAUCACUCAAUAGGUGCAGGAAUCAUCAUAGUGGAACAGACUUCUAGAACCAGGACCACUAGAUAUAGCAGUUAAAGGCCCUGGAGUAACACAUUUUAAGAGGUGGGAAGGUCUGCAUCAAAACUACAUUUAAAUGUAAUAUUUGGGAAAGGGAGGGGAGGAGAGAAGAAAAAAGGUGAUGUUCAGCAGACAUGUUUGGUAGACAAUGUCAGCAGAAAUGUCCAGCAGAAAUGUUUAGCAUAAAUGUUUAGUUCAGCAGAAAUAUUCCGCAGAAAUGUUCCGUAGAAAUGUUUAGUUCAGCAGAAAUAUUCAGCAGAAAUGUUUAGUUCAUCAGAAAUAUUCAGCAGAAAUGUUUAGUUCAUCAGAAAUGUCCAACAGAAAUGUCCAGCAGAAAUGUUCAGCAGAAAUGUCCAGCAGAAAUGUCCAACAGAAAUGUCCAGCAGAAAUGUUCAGCAGAAAUGUCCAACAGAAAUGUCCAGCAGAAAUGUCCAGCAGAAAUGUUCAGCAGAAAUGUUCAGCAGAAAUGUCCAGCAGAAAUGUCCAGCAGAAAUGUCCAACAGAAAUGUCCAGCAGAAAUGUUCAGCAGAAAUGUUCAGCAGAAAUGUCCAGCAGAAAUGUCCAGCAGAAAUGUCCAACAGAAAUGUCCAGCAGAAAUGUUCAGCAGAAAUGUCCAGCAGAAAUGUCCAGCAGAAAUGUCCAGCAGAAAUGCCCAACAGAAAUGUCCAGCAGAAAUGUCCAGCAGAAAUGCCCAACAGAAAUGUCCAGCAGAAAUGUCCAGCAGAAAUGCCCAACAGAAAUGUCCAGCAGAAAUGUCCAGCAGAAAUGUUCAGCAGAAAUGUCCAGCAGAAAUGUCCAACAGAAAUGUCCAGCAGAAAUGUUUAGCAUAAAUGUUUAGUUCAGCAGAAAUGUCCAACAGAAAUGUCCAGCAGAAAUGUCCAGCAGAAAUGUCCAGCAGAAAUGUCCAGCAGAAAUGCCCAACAGAAAUGUCCAGCAGAAAUGUCCAGCAGAAAUGCCCAACAGAAAUGUCCAGCAGAAAUGUCCAGCAGAAAUGUCCAGCAGAAAUGUCCAGCAGAAAUGUUUAGCAUAAAUGUUUAGUUCAGCAGAAAUAUUCAGCAGAAAUGUUCCGUAGAAAUGUUUAGUUCAGCAGAAAUAUUCAGCAGAAAUGUUUAAUUCAGCAGAAAUGUUCAACAGAAAUGUUCAGAAGAAUGUCCAGCAGAAAUGUUCAGCAGAAAUGUACAGCAGAAAUGUUCAGCAGAAAUGUACAGCAGAAAUGUUCAAUAAAAUGAAACUGGGGGGAAAAAACUACAUUCACAUAAGGCCCAUAAAAGCUACAGAUUACAUGACAUUCUUUCUAACAUAUAGAAUUGUUAGACUAUACAACAAACACUCUUAAGCUAAAUAAAACACCCACUGCUUAGUGUGUUGCUUCAGAUGGUGAUGAUGCUUUAGAGCAGGGGCUAUCAAGGUUUUUGCAACCAGGGACCACUUUAUCGGUAAAAUAAUUUCC